rnacentral:rRNA from 1 species
CAAUGUGGCCUUGGGGUUUGUCAAUGCCUGAUACUGCCUGAUCUCAGAAGCUAAGCAGGACUGGGUCUGGUUAGCACUUUGAUGGGAGACCACUGGGAAUACAAGGUGCCGCAGUGG